CUUCGAGAUGGCCUCGCGUCCGAUUAGCUAGUUGGUGAGGUAACGGCCCACCAAGGCGACGAUCGGUAGCCGGACUGAGAGGUUGAACGGCCACAUUGGGACUGAGACACGGCCCAGACUCCUACGGGAGGCAGCAGUGGGGAAUAUUGCACGAUGGGGGAAACCCUGAUGCAGCGACGCCGCGUGGAGGAAGAAGGUCUUCGGAUUGUAAACUCCUGUUGUUGGGGAAGAUAAUGACGGUACCCAACAAGGAAGUGACGGCUAACUACGUGCCAGCAGCCGCGGUAAAACGUAGGUCACAAGCGUUGUCCGGAAUUACUGGGUGUAAAGGGAGCGCAGGCGGGAAGACAAGUUGGAAGUGAAAUCUAUGGGCUCAACCCAUAAACUGCUUUCAAAACUGUUUUUCUUGAGUAGUGCAGAGGUAGGCGGAAUUCCCGGUGUAGCGGUGGAAUGCGUAGAUAUCGGGAGGAACACCAGUGGCGAAGGCGGCCUACUGGGCACCAACUGACGCUGAGGCCCGAAAGUGUGGGUAGCAAACAGGAUUAGAUACCCUGGUAGUCCACACCGUAAACGAUGAUUACUAGGUGUUGGAGGAUUGACCCCUUCAGUGCCGCAGUUAACACAAUAAGUAAUCCACCUGGGGAGUACGACCGCAAGGUUGAAACUCAAAGGAAUUGACGGGGGCCCCCACAAGCAGUGGAGUAUGUGGUUUAAUUCGACGCAACGCGAAGAACCUUACCAAGUCUUGACAUCCCUUGACGAUGCUGGAAACAGUGUUUCUCUUCGGAGCAAGGAGACAGGUGGUGCAUGGUUGUCGUCAGCUCGUGUCGUGAGAUGUUGGGUUAAGUCCCGCAACGAGCGCAACCCUUAUGGUCAGUUACUACGCAAGAGGACUCUGGCCAGACUGCCGUUGACAAAACGGAGGAAGGUGGGGAUGACGUCAAAUCAUCAUGCCCUUUAUGACUUGGGCUACACACGUACUACAAUGGCGUUAAACAAAGAGAAGCAAGACCGCGAGGUGGAGCAAAACUCAGAAACAACGUCCCAGUUCGGACUGCAGGCUGCAACUCGCCUGCACGAAGUCGGAAUUGCUAGUAAUCGUGGAUCAGCAUGCCACGGUGAAUACGUUCCCGGGCCUUGUACACACCGCCCGUCACACCAUGAGAGCCGGGGGGACCCGAAGUCGGUAGUCUAACCGCAAGGAGGACGCCGCCGAAGGUAAAACUGGUGAUU
rnacentral:rRNA from 1 species